AUUUAGGGCUGUGCCAAGCUUUUUCAAUUUUAUUCAACAAGUUUAAUAAAUUCAGUGUGGAAAGUCACGUAUGUAAUAUUCUUUUUAUCACAUGUAAGAGAUUCCUGGCGAAACAUAAAAAAUUAUGCUUUCUUUGACUAUGAUAACAAGUCAAUUAAAUUUUGAUCAACAUCUCCUAUACUAUAAACAACGACGAUGUCAAAGCUUUAUUACACUAGUGUAUUAUCAAUUUUAUGUAAUGGCUUUAUUUCAUUCCCGUGACGUCAAACCUAUUAAAAGAUUUUAAGUAUAUCUACAUGUAAUUUGGCCUUUGGAAUUCAACGCAAACUCAGUGUAGCAGCUGGGAGACUUUUUUAUAGAGGUUGUUGUUGUGGAGAUGUUUUAAGUGUAAAAUUGUUUACAGAGGUUGAUAUGGAGAGUUUCUGACUGAAAGAGGUAGAUGUUAAGGAGAGGUUACAUCUGUUUUAUAGAGGUAGAUGUUAAGGAGAGGUAACAUCUGUUUUAUAGAGGUAGAUGUUAAGGAGAGGUUACGUCUGUUUUAUAGAGGUAGAUGUUAAGGAGAGGUAACAUCUGUUUUAUAGAGGUAGAUAUUAAGGAGAGGUAACGUCUGUUUUAUAGAGGUAGAUAUUAAGGAGAGGUAACAUCUGUUUUAUAGAGGUAGAUGUUAAGGAGAGGUUACGUCUGUUUUAUAGAGGUAGAUGUUAAGGAGAGGUAACAUCUGUUUUAUAGAGGUAGAUAUUAAGGAGAGGUAACGUCUGUUUUAUAGAGGUAGAUGUUAAGGAGAGGUUACGUCUGUUUUAUAGAGGUAGAUGUUAAGGAGAGGUAACAUCUGUUUUAUAGAGGUAGAUAUUAAGGAGAGGUAACGUCUGUUUUAUAGAGGUAGAUGUUAAGGAGAGGUUACGUCUGUUUUAUAGAGGUAGAUGUUAAGGAGAGGUUACGUCUGUUUUAUAGAGGUAGAUGUUAACUCGAAUAAAUCACAUCUGUAGUAUAGCUAAGGAUGCAGUCUAAGAUUACUUGCUUUUCUCCUCUUUUGACUUGAGCCCUGCUUGGGUUGUCAUAGCUACUUAGAUGGGUUGAGGAAGGUCUUGGAUCCAUGUGCCUGCCUUUGCCUGAAAUCAUGUCUAGGACGAGCUCCUGUCGUGUUCGUCCAACAUUAGAAGUUUAAAAGUCGCCAUAUGACUGAAAUUGUGUUGCUGUGACUUAAAACUCUACAAAAAUAUUAUAUUCAUCUACACAAGUAGUCAAGUAAGUUGUAAACUUCCAUUUACCGAAAUGUUUCAGUUUCCAAAAGUGUUACCUACAUAGGAAGUGUUCUUCCAGCUAGGGCUGGAAGAAUUUACAGGGUCUGAAUAUGAUUAUCCCAUUAACAAGGACUAAUUAUGAUUAUUCCAUUAACAAGGACUAAUUAUGAUUAUCCCAUUAACAGGUACUGAUUAUGAUUACUCCAUUUACAGGGACUGAUUAUGAUUAUUCCAUUAACAGGGACUGAGUAUGAUUAUUCCAUUAACAAGGACUAAUUAUGAUUAUUCCAUUAACAGGGACUGAUCAUGAUUACUCCAUUUACAGGGUCUGAUUAUGAUUAUUCCAUUAACAGAACUGAUUAUGAUUAUUCCAUUUAAGGCUUAAAAUUUCACUUAAAUGAUGAAAUUUGUCAGUCAGAAGAUUAAGACCUAUAAUCAUGUAAACGUUGAACAAGCAUAGCCAAAAACAGACUCAGAAUUGUUUUUGUUUUGCAAUAAUAGUAUUUUUUGUAUGUGCACCAGUUUUGUUAAACUUGAUUUGAAUAAAACAAUAGAAUGAG
rnacentral:lncRNA from 1 species